rnacentral:lncRNA from 1 species
UCUGAGUAUAGUCCAGGUCACCUAAACAGCAUAAAUAUGCCAGGCAAAAGCAUGAUCCACAUCCCUGGUGGGAAGGAGCACAAGAUAUGAGAUUUCAUCAUGUUACUAGGGAUGACACACAAUUUAAAGCUUAUGAAUUGUUUAUUUCUGUAAUUUGCCAUUGAGUACUUUUGGACCAUAGUUAACUAGAGGUAACUGACACCAUAAAAAGUGAAACGGCAGAUAAGCUUCAGGUGAGAAUAGACUUUGGUAAAGGGGCAGUCUGAAAUGCGCAGGAAGUCUUAAUUCCAAAAGAAAAGAUGUACCAUUAAAAUAAAUGGAUGACCUAAGGAAAUUACUGGAGUUGAGAAAUAAGCAAGUGAGGGAACUGAGAAGAAAUGUCACACUGAAGCCUCUUCACAACUUAAGGACAACUAUGCAUCCAGACACCUGCAAUGUGACACCAGCACAGGACACAGAACCAGUUACCUUGAAGAAUUUAAGAGUAAAAGGAAUAUACCUCAAGUCAAAUAUCCACAGAGCAGGCAGCAUGGGGCAAGCAACAGUUUACUGAUGGUCCCAACACAAUGUUACUCCCAUCUUUAAGGUAAAGAUAAAUAUGUGAAAGAAAAGAAGAAUUCCAUAGUGGUCAACAGGGCAGAUUUGAAUGAGUGAUGAGCCACUGUACAUACUAACA